GAUGAACGCUGGCGGCGUGCCUAAUACAUGCAAGUCGAGCGAACGGACGAGAAGCUUGCUUCUCUGAUGUUAGCGGCGGACGGGUGAGUAACACGUGGAUAACCUACCUAUAAGACUGGGAUAACUUCGGGAAACCGGAGCUAAUACCGGAUAAUAUUUUGAACCGCAUGGUUCAAAAGUGAAAGACGGUCUUGCUGUCACUUAUAGAUGGAUCCGCGCUGCAUUAGCUAGUUGGUAAGGUAACCGCUUACCAAGGCAACGAUGCAUAGCCGACCUGAGAGGGUGAUCGGCCACACUGGAACUGAGACACGGUCCAGACUCCUACGGGAGGCAGCAGUAGGGAAUCUUACGCAAUGGGCGAAAGCCUGACGGAGCAACGCCGCGUGAGUGAUGAAGGUCUUCGGAUCGUAAAACUCUGUUAUUAGGGAAGAACAUAUGUGUAAGUAACUGUGCACAUCUUGACGGUACCUAAUCAGAAAGCCACGGCUAACUACGUG
rnacentral:rRNA from 1 species